rnacentral:rRNA from 1 species
CCUACGGGGGGCAGCAGUGGGGAAUAUUGGACAAUGGGGGCAACCCUGAUCCAGCCAUGCCGCGUGUGUGAAGAAGGCCCUCGGGUUGUAAAGCACUUUCAGUGGGGAAGAACGGCUGGUGGUUAAUACCCAUCAGGAAAGACAUCACUCACAGAAGAAGCACCGGCUAACUCCGUGCCAGCAGCCGCGGUAAUACGGAGGGUGCGAGCGUUAAUCGGAAUUACUGGGCGUAAAGCGCGCGUAGGUGGCUUGAUAAGCCGGUUGUGAAAGCCCCGGGCUCAACCUGGGAACGGCAUCCGGAACUGUCAAGCUAGAGUGCAGGAGAGGAAGGUAGAAUUCCCGGUGUAGCGGUGAAAUGCGUAGAGAUCGGGAGGAAUACCAGUGGCGAAGGCGGCUUCCUGGACUGACACUGACACUGAGGUGCGAAAGCGUGGGUAGCAAACAGGAUUAGAUACCCCUGUAGUC